UAAAACGUCAUUUACGAGAUUUGAUAACUAUAGGCGUCAUAUUACAAAUUCAUCAUUGUGUUCAAUGGAUUCGGAUGAUAUGACUCCUAAAAAAGCCCGCCUGACAACUAGAACACCUUUACAAGAAGUUACUACUAACGCUCCAUCAUGUUCAUUUCAUCAAUUUUGUGAAAUAUGCAAUAGUCACUACAGAGGAUCCAGAUUAAACCAUUUACGUUCUUUAAAACAUAAAAGUGUCAUCUCCGCCAAAAUUAAUGAUGAUGAUGAUUUCGUUGAAGAAUAUCAAGUUGCCUUCAAAUCAAGAAUUACCUCAUACCGAUUGAAAAAUUCACAACUAGAUGACUUGGAAGUGUGCAAUUUUUUUGAAAGAAAUCAAGAUAAACUUAUCACUUUAAUAACUAGAAAACUGAGAGAAUUUAACCAACUUAAAAUUAAUUUCGAACUUUUUGCUAAAUAUAUUUUACCUUCUAAAGACAUUAUCGAAAUCAAAUCAUUCAACACUAAAAAUAUCAUCAUUUCAAUAUCGACAAAUAUUAAGGUAGAACUGGAAGAAAUAUGUGGCGUCAUAAAAAACAAAAUGAGUGAAUUCUUGGAAAAAGAUAGUGGUUGGAUUUUAAUGGAAAUUUUGUUUUUGGAACUUAAUAUCAACAAAUUCAAUCCACCUACGUGCAUCAACAUAUAUACCAUUACCGAAGGACAUAGCGAAGCGGAGAGCGGUUAUCAAUAUUCAUAAUGAUGAUAAUGAAUGUUUCAAAUGGUCUGUUUUGGCACACCUUCAUUCAACUGAAGUAAAUGUUAAUCGACAUCGAGUUGAUGCUUAUCGUUUCCAAAAUAGACAGCACUAUCCACUCUACCUACCUGAGGUUCGACUCCCCAUGGAAGGAACAACAACAACAACAACUUUUUUUGCAUUAUAUUUUAAACAAAUAACAAAAUAAACUUGGUGCGCAACAGACAAGUUAGGCAAACAACAUUACAAAAAUAAAAAACUACAUAUA